rfam:Sorghum bicolor cultivar BTx623 chromosome 1, whole genome shotgun sequence.
GUUGUCGUAUUUACUUCAAUCCAUGUGUGUUGGUGUGGAUUGGAGUGGAAUCUAGUUCAAGUUCCACUCCAAUCCACCUCAACACAUGUAGAUUGAUGUGAAUAUGACU